rnacentral:lncRNA from 1 species
ACUGAGAAGAGCUUGCGUUUUAAUCACACUAAAGUCAGGUGGACAGCCUCAGGUCGCUCAGGUUCGCUGUUCCCCAGCCCCUCUUGGAGGUCUGCCCGGUCAGUCUGUGCCACCGGAAGGUGUGUGACCCCGGGCCCAGUCCUCGUCCGGUGCAUGCCGGGGGCUGCGGGAAGAGCUUCACCUACAUUCGGUCACUGGCGCUAGGCACGGUGGCGGCACACACCCCAACCGCCUGCACACGGGAGGCUGAGGCAGGAGGAUUGCCCUGAGUUCGAGGCCAGCCUGGACGCUGUCUCAGAAACCCAGACAAAGAAACAAAAUAUAAGGCAUUAGUUCAGUGACAAGGGAAAUGAACCUACAGAACCUGUGAACUGCAGAGCAGCUGCUUCCGCUAAUCACAUAAAGAACAUAACAGCAGACCUGUUCUUUCCUUUCUCCCUUCCCCCACUCCCCAUCUCCUCCCUCCCCUCCUUCCUCCUCCUCCCUCCCGCCCUCCCAUCCUGGAGAUUUAUCCCAGUAGCUCUGCGCCCAGCCGUGUGUGCAGGCCUGCUUUGUGUUUUGACACGGGCGCCCCGAGACCUACUCUUAGCAACACAGCUAAGGUCAGGAGUUGGAAACAUGUUCCAGAGUGUGUGCGCUAAACUCCUCUCACAGCCUUGCGUGUCACGGGGCCGCUGUGUUCCCAGAAAACUGCAGGGGGACGCAGCCUUGGAUGCCCCAUUUCCGGGCUCUGCGGGGCGUCCCCCUCGCGGCGGGGAGCGCGGCGGCGGCUUUCACACGCCUGUGCCGCGGCAGGGGGCGGGGCUCGCAGGCUUUCCCACGUCUCUGCGAGUUUGCUGCAUCGGUCCCUGCGCGUCUGCUUGUCCUUUGGUGCGCUCGUAAAUCCCUUUAUGAGCCGGCCCGCGAUGGGUCCUCCUCCGAGCCUGGUGACUCCAUCCCAGCCGUGCCGCCGUCAGCUCAUUGCUGCGCAUGCCCAGCUGGCUCCUGUCCACGCGACCUGACCCCAGACACUUGUCAGUGCAGGGUUGGGGUCGAGCCAGGGCCUAUGGGUGACUGCAGUGGCCGCUCCUGCCAAGCUUCACCUGCUGCGCCACCUCUGGCCUUUUAAAGCUGACCUCGCCUUCCUGUCCCUCCCCCAUUCUGCUUCAAGCGCCCAUGCGGAGGAAUUCAAGCGUUGCUUUAGUGAAGCCACCUUCAAAGACCGGAGUAGCCUGUGAAAGCGAGGGAGGACGGUGCCCCGCGCAGCAGCGCUCUGUGGCAGCCCUGGGGUUUGGCUGUCCUGAUCCUCGCAAAGCAGGGACAGCCCAGUGGCCGAGGCCUCGCCGGGACGAGCUGGGCCCAGGCUGGCAG